CCCUCACGGAUUCGCAAAUGGCCAUUUCUGAUUUCUGCAAUUCACGGGUUCUUUUUCCCACUCUUCUCGCCAGAUCCCUCUCUCUCUCUCUCUCUCUCUCUCUGCAAUUAGGGAAGAGAUCUUCGAUCUUGUCAGCCUUAAACCAUUGACGAAGUUGAGGAUUGAGGAUUGAGGAUUUCAGAUUUCAUUCAUUAUAUAAUUGGAGACUGAACGCUCAUCAAUCAAGGUGUCUCUUGCUUGUGGAUUGCAACAGUAAGCAAGAUCUAUUACAUCAUAUUGUUGAUCAUUUAAAUCACCAAGCAGAGUUUUAGAUUUCAUGACAUCCAAAAACUUUAGAACCACAUACAAAACAUGGGAAGACAAGAGGCAGUGCUAGCUGAUAAUUCAAGAUGCUGUGCACCCCCCAAAAGCCAUGUAAAAGGGUGAGAGGUUUAACUUGUUUCUGUGAUUUUAACUCGUUUUAGAAUGGUGAGCCUAACAGUUUAGGACCCUAGUAACCCUGGCCUUUCUCCAAGUGGAACAAAAGCAAGAGCUAUUUGGAACUUAACUUCACAAGGUUGAACCUGUUGGUCCCAUGUAAUUGUUUUGCUGGUGUUGUUGCACAAAGGUUGAAAUGUAUAUAGCUUUCAAGUUCAGUACUUCAUGGUUGUGAUGGGAAAACCAAUCUGCCCAAUGCAUUGCAAUCUUUUAGACCAAUUGAAACAGGUUCAUUUUGGCCCACAUGGGUUGUUCUUCUAUGGUUUUCAUUGUUUACUGUUGAAAUUGAAACCUUCAGUGUACACUGGUUGUCUUCUUCCAUACUCGGUCAGUUUUAGCCAUAUAUGAUCUUAUUGCUAGAAGAACUUGUUCAUCAAGCAGAUUUAAUUAGAUUAGUAAAACCCAUGUGAUAAAAUAUUUUCUCUUGUGCAACACGUCGCUUGGAGAUGAUUGGUUGGCUUGUUCAUGGCAUUUAGCGGUGAGUUGUGAUCCAAAGCUUUAAUUUACUGUACUUUUUGUUUAGUAUUAUGGAUCUUUAUACUGGCUCAACUAGAGAUUAGUGAUCAAUAAUAAUAUAUUACUGCACACUUACCUAAACUGUAUCCUCGGUAGCGACCUACCGCUAGGGUAGAAUAUGGUAAUACUAGGAAUAUUGUCAGUAGGAAUUCUCAAAAUGAACAAAACAAAAGUAUCUCAGAAAUUUCUCAGGGAAAAAGUGUCUCAAUCAGAACGGAUUGUCCUUCUCCUGUGCUGAACUAAAUAUCUAAUGAGAUAAGAAGAGGAAACCAUAAAGAAAUACCAGAGUUCCACUUGAUAGAUUGUCUGAAUUCUGCACUCUCUUAUGUCUUAUGCGGCAAGUUGCGUCGGCUAACCUCAGCCCUAGGACCCAUGCCAGCUUGGAUCUUCUACAAGUAGGUUCUCAGGUUUUCUCAGCAACCACCACCAAUUGGAGAAGAAAGAAAACUUUCAACUUAAUUUGAAAGGGAGGGGGUUCCCUAACUGCCCAUGUUCAGCUGUCCUCACCCAGUUCAUCAGUUGGAAACUAGGAAUUACAUGGAGAAACAAAGUGGGCUCUACAAUUUUCUAUCAAUAGAUUCUUCCCAUAGAAAUGCCAAACAUGUUACAGCUCGCUAUUGUUGGUUAACUCUCAGUAGGUUUGAGAACAUUCAGAGAGGUACGUGAUGGUCUUAUGUCCAUCAAGGUUAAGAUACUGAUGCAUACAUAUCUGUUGAAUUGAUCUGUAUCAGUGCCACAUCAAUAUAAGACUUCGACGGUACUUAUCGGCUGAUACGAUAUCGAUACUUGGAACACUGAUGUCCAUUGAACAUUCUUUGGCUAGAGACAAUGGUCUGUGUGUGUGUGUGUGUGUGGUGGGGGAAGUGAUGAGGGGAUGAUCAUUUUGUGAAAUUGACUCCUGCUCUACGGUGCCAAGAAUCUCUAACAUAAAAAGUGGGUAUCGAGAUACCAUCACACCCUGCCAAUGUGUAGAAUCUUUAUCACCUCACAGUCAUGUCUAGUGGAAACCAAUACCAACGGAUUCCUCUUCUCUCUCUCAAGAGCUUUGGAGGCUCUUAUCACCAUCUCUUAGUGGUCCUUCCAUACAAGUUGGAGUUGGGUAAUACACCUACUCCUUAUGAUUUUAAAAGUGAAUUUGUCUGCUGCAUCCUUUAGUGCGACUGAUAGAGUAGAUACUCAACAGGUUCCACAAGAUUAAGACCCUUAAAUUGCUUAUGGAAUUACGAAUCCCCGACUUUAGGAGGCUAAAAAGUCCAUCCAGAUCUGAUCCGAUCCAUAUUUGGAGAGGAGAAUCUUUGAAUGAAAAAAAGCAUAUUUUCAAAAAGGAAGAAAUUCUAACUGGUGGGAUCUACUAAGAAAUUCUAAAGGAUGGGAGAGUAUCUCAAAACUAUUUAUACGUCACUGGAUAAGCAGAUACGUUGUGAUGGUAAUGAAGGGUGUACCAAUUGAUAAGAAUCAUGCAACACCGCCCUGGAGAGUUGACGGAUAAAAAUGAAGAGAAGUUGGUAAAGACAUUCUGAUCUGAUAACAUAUUUGUGGCUCAUAUCAAUUCUAUAAGAUGAAGCAGUUAUUGGAAGCAGCAGAAAAAGGAGGUCAAUGGAUGGACACUUUCUCGAUCCAUUCAUGGAUUCACUCAAUAUUGUUUGAGCAACAAAUUAACUUCAUAAAAGAAAUGUGAUGGACAAAAAAAAAAAAAAUUAGUUAUUAAUGGCUUCUGAGACUGCAAGUUCUUUAGUUUUGUCUGCCUUAAAGAGUGUCAUACACAGGUUAGGGUUUAUCCUGCUUAUUAGCUGUGCAUGCAUGGAUGCAUCUUUGCGUUUAUGACAUAGAACAGACAAUAGUUUACUCUACUCUCUUUUUUGAGGAAUUGUACAAAUGUCACCUCUUAGUUACAUUUAAUGGGAGAAAAAAGCUACCUGGUGGCGUAGCGCCAGCAACUCCUGUGCCUAUUUUUCAUCUCCCUCCUCUGAAAUGCCAUAUACCUCUUAUUGUGGAAUAAAAGAGUAAAAAGAUAAGACUACACAGCUGAUAAGGAACUCAAGCCCUUAAUAUAUAUAAACAUAUUUUUUUAUUCCCUGUCGUGUUCCCUAGAGUUCUGUUUGGUGAGUUAAAAAGAGUUAUUCAAAAUAAUUUGAAAAGGUUUUAUCAUUCGAUUAUUUUCAAGAAUUGUCGCUUUCUUGCAUAUUUUUUCUAAUAUAAAUGUGAAAUAAUAGUUUUUUGCCAGCAUUAAAAAAUAGUAUCGUACUAAGAGAAUAAAAAAAAAUUACAAAUUAAGAUUUUUUUUUUAAGAGAUUUUUCUGAACUGACAUUUAAGAAUUGAAGGAUGUCCUUCUCCCCUUCCCCCUUGUACGAAGUCUUUGUCUUCCAUUAGAAUCAUAUCCCACCACAAUAAAGAAAGGGAAUCACUUUGAGUGAACAGACAUUUGGUCCUUUAUGCCUUUAUGCUUGGUGAUUCUAUUGUGUCCUUAGUAUCAAACUAGAAAAAUACCAUCAUACUGUAGUGAUUUGCUUGUACGGGUUUUUUAAAAUUCUCAUAGCCAUAUGCUCAAGUUUUCAUUGAUAUGAACCAAUGGGUUAGAUUUUCCUAAUCCGUAUGUUAUUCUUGUACAUUCAUAUUCACCCCCAAAAGUGCUGAGCAAAUGCUUUAGGCGUCUUUUUUGGAUUCGAUCUACUAGUGAAGCUUUGGAAAGCUACCGUAUGAGCAGUAUGAAGACUUCAUCGGUACUUUUGUUACUUUUUCUGAGCAAUAGAGUUUUCCUAAGGCCGCGGUUAAUGGAUUCGUCGUAAUCCAUCACGAUCCACUCUACAAGGGGGUGAGAGUGAUCACAUUUGGAUCAUCCCAUCAUUCAGAAAACUGUCUUAAAUUUUUUAGAGGAAAUUUAGAAGAAAAAAAAAGAAUCUAUAAAAGAGAAGAAUAGAAAUGAAGUGAAAUGGGAAGGGAAAGGGGAAAAAAUUUUAUGUCCGUUUUGCCAUCAAUAAAAGAAAAUUUUUUCUAUUUUCUUGUGUUUCUUGUAUAUUAGGCAACACUUUUUUUUUGGCACCACAAGAAAGCUUUACCAUUUCAAAGAUGAAUUUGAAAUUCAAAAAAUAAAUAAAUAAAUAAAUAAAAUAAUAAUCUUCUCUUGAUUCAAAACUUCUUAAACCAAGAAAAUAUUACAAUGUUUGUACUUUUUUUCUUUUCUUAUCUAAUCUUAUCUUGACUACCAAAAAUGGUGUAAGAGAAGCAAAAUUAAAAGACAAUGAGGUGGUUGCAACCAUCAAACCCAGGAAAUCCCGAGGGACGAGGCUCCCUGAGGAAAAAUCCAUGAUAGAAAGGCUAUCCUUAUACUUUAAAAAAUAAAACUAAGCCAAUCCUAAAAAGUCCUUACCAUGGAUUUCCUGGGUAUUAAAACGCGGGGGGGGGGGGGGGGUAGUAUCAAAAAGCUGUUGCAAAUGGGCAUUGAAUAAGAGCACGGGCAAUGCGAUCCUCCACUAGCCAAUAUUGGGCAAGGAGAAUCAGUGGUUAACUUUUGCCUCAUCAAAAGUUGUCUUACAGUAAUUGUCUUAGAACUACAUCUCCAAAUAAACUGUUUAAUCUUUGGGAAUAGUUAUAGCUACCAAAGAAAACUCCAAAAAGGAUCAGGUAUCGAAGUAGGGAUCUUUUUUUACAUAGGCCAAUAAACGGAAGCCCCAAAGUUAAUUAAGGAGUAUUUGACUAACGCUACAUGCCUCUCUUGUUGCUUUGACCACGUUUGUGUUAGACCAUUCUUCAAUUUUGUUAAAUACUUGUUCAACCCAUUAUUCUUUUAAAAAAAUUGUUCAUUAUCUGGUUGCAUGGUUCAAACAUCUUUAAGUGUUUUUUUUUUUUUUUUUUCGAUAGAGAGAGUAGUAGGUAACAGCUAGGAGACUCAAACUUGAGACUUCCUAGUGAGCAUGGGUUUUUUAUACACCAUAGCUCACCAACUGCACUAAACAGUUGUUGAAAUGACAUUUAAUUGAUAAUAAAAAUUCUUAGUAAAUUAGCUAGUUUGAUUUGUUUUUUUUUUCAUAGUUAAAAUAAAGACGUUUUUGAAAAUAGAUUUCAUAUUAAAUUGUUCUUGUUUGAAAAAUAUAGAUUGCUUGAGUCUCUCACUCCUACAUCUGAAACACUUUCUCAACUUUCGGAGAUUUUGAGUCAAAUUUUUUAGCUUCUUGAGGUUGCGGAGAUCUAUUGGUUGUGAAGGUCCUGGUUGUGUUAUAAAUAAAGGAGAUAGAAAACUGUCAAGUUUUCAUAAUAUGGUUGUUAAUAAUUUUUUAAAAACUGUCAGCAUUCAUGCUCUGUUCUCCCUAAUCCCCCAAAAAUAAGUAUGUUGUUCAAGUGGAUGAUGAAAGGCCUAUUAGCUUGUGUACAGCUUUAAAAUUAUUUCUAAGCUUCUUACUAAUAUGCUUAGGGUUGUAUUGGAUAGUUUCAUCUCUCCUUUUUAGGCAAUUUUUGUUAGAGGUAGAUAGAUAGUGACAACAUUAUUGCUGCACAUGAUAUUUUUUACUUUCUUAGGAGGUUAGAAGAUAGAGGGGUAGAAGAGGAUGUGUUAUAUGUGUCUAGAAUUCUUAUACCCGUUUCGACAAUUGCCGCGUUUUGACAUUUUAUGUGGUGACCCGAAUGAGAAAUUGUGAGCUCUGUAACGUUAGUGAAGGGUUUGGGCUAAUAGACCCAAGUUUGGAGCCCAUCGAGUAUUUGUAUAUUUUAUUGUCUUGUUGUGCAAGUAAAAAAAAAGACGAGUGUGAACGACUGCCUAAUGCACUGGUAGAGUGUGAAGAGCUAAAACCCAUCCUAUUGGGAGGUCCUAGGUUCAAGUCUUUUGGUUCAGACCUUCUCUCUCCCUCAUAGAAAUAGAAUAAAUUAUGACCUAUAAAAAAAAAAAAAAAGAUUUGGGUUUUUUUGUGUUGAAGUUUCUAGAUGAGAGUUCUUGCUGCGACUUUGGUGUUCUUGAAAAUCUUCAUUGUAAUAUUUUUCUCAUCACAUAGUGAAUCAUCUUUAAAUUCGUCAGUGAAUGCAGCACACAUCAUAUUGAUGUGUGUACUACAUUAAAUUUCUUUGCUUGAAUUUUUGUGUUUAUUUGUGUUUCUUACUGUUUGCUCUAACAAGAUGGAUGGCUCUAAAGUUAGAUAUGUCCAAAGUUUAUGAUCGUCUGAAGUGAGGCUAUCUUAAAAGCCAUUUUGAGUUUAUGGGGUUUAGUGAAAAGUAGCGUGACUUGAUUACUUUUACGAUCUAUCGUUGUGAUAGAUGAUUGACAAACAGUCUUUCAUCACCUUCCCAAAGAAUAGCUCGUUGAAACUAAGGAAGGGAAUCUAAAGGGCUGCAGUUGAGGGUAGCACCAGACAGCACCCAAUUAGUUAUUUAGUGUCUACUUAUUCCUACUCCAUCAAACUGCAUGCUAGUUUUAAUUUGUUUACCCUUCUGGAGGAAUUCCCCAAGGAUGCCCUCUUAGCAUGUACUUAUUUAUUCUUACUAUGAAGGAGCUAUCUAGGCUUUUGAAUGUCCAUCAUGAUCUUAAUAUGUUUAAGGUCAUCAAGAUGAGCAGGGAUGCUCCUAAAAUCUCCCAUAUUUUUCAGACGAUGAGUUAAUCUUUUUUGGGGAAUCUGAGCACAAUGCUCUUUCAAUCCAAGCUAUCCUGAACUUCUUCCAAGAUUUUAAAAAAAAAAUAUAUAUAUAUAUAUAUAUGCUUUUAAUUUGUCUUUAAUUCAAUUCCUGCUUAUUGGAUGUACAUUAUUUCAUUUUCCUGACUGUCAUUAGUAAGAUUCAAUUACUUCUAGAAUUUAGCAAGGUGUAUAUGAUGUUGGUAGAAGUUGGUCUCUUGUUCUCUUGUCUCAUGGAAGCUGUUAUCUUUUCCUAAAGCAUAUUGGUGGGGAAGGGGGGUGGGGUGUUAGGUUUGUUAAACAGAUUACUUCUGGAGACUUUUGACUCAUACCCAGGAUUUGUGGGCCAGAGUAUUGAAAGCUAAGUAUUUCCCACACAACUCCUUGUUAGAUUAUAAUUCUUCUUCUAUGCCAAUCUUGCUUAUAUGGAAUGUUUUGUGCCAUGUUUUGCCUUCUAAUAGGAAGUUGGUGUGUCAACGUGAUUGUGAUCGGACUCUUUUUUAUCCAUGUGGGGUGAGUCUUGGAUUCCUGGUCUUAAAAGACUAAGCUUCCCAGGAGUUCUCAGUUAGCCAUCAGGUUUUGCUAUGGGAAAGAGUUGAUGGUUAAUGAUUAUUGGAAUAAACCUUUAUUGCAUUAUUUCCAAUUUUCCAUCGUAUAACUAAGACUGUUUGUAAGAUACCUAUUCAUGUAAAUAAACAUAUCUGUAAGUGGAUUUGCCCUGUCUUGCAAUGAUAUUUUUUUUUUACGGAUCUGGUA